rnacentral:rRNA from 1 species
UACGUAGGGUGCAAGCGUUAAUCGGAAUUACUGGGCGUAAAGCGUGCGCAGGCGGUGAUGUAAGACAGAUGUGAAAUCCCCGGGCUCAACCUGGGAACUGCGUUUGUGACUGCAUCGCUGGAGUGCGGCAGAGGGGGAUGGAAUUCCGCGUGUAGCAGUGAAAUGCGUAGAUAUGCGGAGGAACACCGAUGGCGAAGGCAAUCCCCUGGGCCUGCACUGACGCUCAUGCACGAAAGCGUGGGGAGCAAACAGG